rnacentral:lncRNA from 1 species
GGGGUGCAAAAGUAAAUUCAUUCAUGAAUUCCUUCAUUUAUUUAUUUACUUGGAAUUUUAAUUUAGUUCACAAUCAUUUCAAGUUGAAUUUUAAAUACCAAAAUAAAUAAAUGCAUAAACUGGAGAAUAAAACAUUUUAACUGGACAACAUCCUAGCAAACACUUGUCUUUAAUUGACAGAGGACAGACUUCUUUGUGAAACUCUGUCAGGACUGAGUGAUUAUGAGAAUCAUGUCAGUGUGGCAAAAUUGUCCAACAGAUGUUUUUGAGAAUUUGACAUCAAAUAUUUCAGAGCGCAAUGACACUAUAACUGUGUAUCCACAUAAUCAAUUCCAUCUCUAAGCUAUUUGCAUUGUACUGCUGCACUAUCUUAUUCAGUGGAAUUUACAGUUGGCAAAUGUUUAGUGCUGUCAAACGAUUAAUCACAUCCAAAAUAAAAGUUUUUGUUUGCAUAAUAUAUUUGUGUGUUCUGUGUAUAUUUAUAAUAUAUAUAUAAAUAUGUGAACUUUUUUUUAAUAACUGGACAUAAGAUACACUUUUCCUUAUUCAAUAAUAUAAAGUUAAACCUAAAAUAUUUUUGAUAGUAAAAUUAGGCAGAUCAUUAUAUUACUGCAGAUCUAGAUAAAGGCUGAUAUUUUCCAUGUGCUUUGAUGCAGAAAUAUUGAAUGUGUUUGUUUUUCAUAUAACUGCAUAUAACUGUGUCCUCUCUAUAACUCCAUUUAAGUUGAAUUGACUUUUGUGCUUUAGGAAGAGAGUAGAACCCAGAGAACUACUGAAUCCCAAAUCAUUUAUUUUGAAUAAUUAUAAAUUGUAUUUAUUUAGUUCAUAUUUUUUUCAGAAUUUGUUCAAAGGUUUUUGAAAUGGAAUGUUACAGACCAAGAUUUUUAAAAAAAGUUGUUUAAACUGUACAAAUGGAUUUUUUUUAUUUAUUUAUUUUAGGUUUAACAAUGCAAAAUGGAAAUCUCGUCGCGGAAGCUACUGAAGUUUGAUUUGUUCUUUGAAGACUCAAUAUAUCGCACUGUUGAUGUAUGGAGCUGCAGGGCUGGACUGGCUCGCUUCAGUGGACAGUUGUGGUGGGGUUCUGUGACCCAGCCUCCCUCUCAUGUUACGGCCCUAUUUAUAACAUCUCCCACCCCUCCUUCAGUCCCAACCCAUUGCCCAAAAGCCCGGCCACUGUUAGGAAGCACCUUUCCCUCUCAGCUGGGCCGCAGUCUGCGCUAGACUGUCAACUGAGAUCCAGCUCUCAUCAUCAUCAUCAGCUGCACUGCCUGGC